rnacentral:rRNA from 1 species
UACGGAGGGUGCGAGCGUUGUCCGGAAUCACUGGGCGUAAAGGGCGCGUAGGCGGCAUGCCAAGCGUGUGGUGAAAGCCCGGGGCUCAACCCCGGGUCGGCCGUGGCGACUCGUGGGCUGGAGCACUGUAGAGGCGGGUGGAAUUCCGGGUGUAGCGGUGGAAUGCGUAGAGAUCCGGAAGAACACCAGUGGCGAAGGCGGCCCGCUGGGCAGUGGCUGACGCUGAGGCGCGACAGCGUGGGGAGCAAACAGG